rnacentral:rRNA from 1 species
CCUACGGGAGGCAGCAGUGGGGAAUUUUCCGCAAUGGGCGCAAGCCUGACGGAGCAAGACCGCGUGAGGGAGGAAGGCUCUUGGGUUGUAAACCUCUUUUAUCAGGGAAGAAGAUCUGACGGUACCUGAUGAAUCAGCAUCGGCUAACUCCGUGCCAGCAGCCGCGGUAAUACGGAGGAUGCAAGCGUUAUCCGGAUUUAUUGGGCGUAAAGCGUCCGCAGGUGGUUAUUCAAGUCUGCUGUUAAAGCGCGAGGCUUAACUUCGUACAGGCAGUGGAAACUGGAUGACUGGAGUAUGGUAGGGGUAGCGGGAAUUCCCAGUGUAGCGGUGAAAUGCGUAGAUAUUGGGAAGAACACCAGCGGCGAAAGCGCGCUACUGGGCCAUUACUGACACUCAUGGACGAAAGCUAGGGGAGCGAAAGGGAUUAGAUACCCCUGUAGUCCUAGCUGUAAACGAUGGGUACUAGGUGUUGACCGUAUCGACCCGGUCAGUGCCGUAGCUAACGCGUUAAGUACCCGCCUGGGGAGUAUGCACGCAAGUGUGAACUUAAAGGAAUUGACGGCGNGAGACGNGCGAGACGACGACGAGGAGAGG